UCAUUUUACUGACCGUACUCUCGACCUUUCUCUUCUUCGGGCAUUCCGCAGAACUAUUAAUCCACUUGUUUCAGUUGAUCCUCCUGUCUCAUCAUCAAGAGAAGAAAUAGAAGAAGCUUUUGAGGUCAAGCCUUCUUCUUCUGUAAUGUACUCACCUUUAUUUUAACUUUCUUUUCAAUAUUUAUUUUCUUUUUCUCCAGUCAAUUCUAGUUUCUUCAUCGGUCUCAGCUUCAGAAAUAAGAUCGAUUGAAACCGCUCAAUCUACUCCGCCGCCUCCAAAGCG
rnacentral:lncRNA from 1 species